GUGAAAUUGUUGAAAGGGAAGCGCUUGCCAUCAGAAUCGGUGCCGGUCGAUCAACGUUCCUUCUGGGUCGUGCACUCGGCCGGUUUCCGUGCCAGCAUCGGUCGCCGCGGCGGGACAAAGACGGCGGGAAAGUGGCUCCCCUCGGGGAGUGUUAUAGCCCGCCGUGCAAUACCGCCAGCGGCAACCGAGGACCGCGCUUUUGCUUGGAUGCUGGCCUAAUGGUUGUAAGCGACCCGUCUUGAAACACGGACCAAGGAGUCUAACAUCUACGCGAGUGUUCGGGUGGAAAACCCGUACGCGGAAUGAAAGUGAACGGAGGUGAGAGCCCUCGCGGGUGCAUCAUCGACCGAUCCUGAUGUCUUCGGAUGGAUUUGAGUAGGAGCGUAGCUGUUGGGACCCGAAAGAUGGUGAACUAUGCCUGAAUACGGUGAAGCCAGAGGAAACUCUGGUGGAGGCUCGCAGCGGUUCUGACGUGCAAAUCGAUCGUCAAAUUUGGGUAUAGGGGCGAAAGACUAAUCGAACCAUCUAGUAGCUGGUUCCUGCCGA
rnacentral:rRNA from 1 species